AGUCAACUCUGGGCUGUACUUGGACUUAAAAUUGCUCUUAUCCAGAGCCUCAAUUCUUUUCUCUUUCAUCAAAGGCGUAUCACCAGAAUACUUAGUAAUUGUUACUGGAAAGUCUAAGGUCAGAUGGCUGCAAUUCAAAUAAUUACCUACAGAUCUGAGACUUGGAUUGCAUUAAUUAUUUAUUAGCUAGAUGGACAACUGCAGGAAUGGCCUGCCAAGGUAUCUACUCUCAGGACCAGGAAUACUAAUUGAGGUCCUAAAUGGAAGCACAGCUCGUAACAGUGAUCCAUACCAGAUGGAUUCAUUUCUUUGGUGGCUCAGUAAUGAUAAUAUUACUUCUAUAGACCAUAUCACGAACAUGCUACCAGAUCUACAAGCAACAACAUUCAGUAAUUUUUACUAUAUUUGAUGGUUUUUCACCUUAGCACAGUUCCUAACUCCAGCGAUUCUCAUAAAUUAAAGUUAAUGGUGUACUUGGAGCAACGACACAUGCCGUAUCUUCACUUAUCAAAUGCAACACCUUUGGAAUUAAGGUGUGCAUUUUGAAGGCUUUCCAAGCACAUUUGCUUGUCUUGCUUAAGUGCUGCUGCUUCAAAAAAUAAAUGAUUAAUUACUAAUUUUAAAAUGUUCAUGAUUGCCAUCGUUCUGCUAGCUGUGGUUAAUAAUGAUGAGUAAUCAUGAGAUAAUCAAAUCUGACUGUUUCAGUAGAAACUUUGCGUAAGGAACAAUAGCUUUUUUCAUUUUAUAUUUUGCUCAGAUGAAAACAAAAUUGAGCUGAUGCCCUUUAAAAAAUUAUUGGGGAGGGUCAAAUGUUUAAAACCAUUGUAUUCUCUGUAUGCUAUGCUUGUUAGGCUAAACACGUACUUCUGCCCUGACUAUUGAUUAGAUUACCACAUACUACUUAGACAUUGAACAUGCAGGAAUUUCCUCUCAGAUUUACACAAAGUGAGUGAUUUACACCAGUUUUCAAAGAAGGCCCUAAAAUAAUUGUAAAGGAGCAAACAUGAAUUUGCUGCAAAUGAAGCACUUCUGCCACAAGUGUGCAGGUGUAACUAAAGUAUGGCUUUUAAAAUAACAUUCCAUGUCAAGGGACAUUUCAUGCCUGAAGUCAACAGUGGCUGUCAGCAGGUGGCAAACUUGUCCUCUGGGCUGGAGCAGUGCAAGUAAUUGGCUUUCUUUGCAAAGAAAGGAAAAAAACGAUGGCUUUGC
ensembl:lncRNA